AAAAACUAGAGUAACUUUGAUUAAAAAUGAUGGAUCUUAAAAGGAGAAAUAAGAAUUAGGAGUGAAACUAGUUAGGAUAAACUCGAAUCGAAUCUGACACUGGAUUUGAUAGGAAAUGAAUAUAGAUGCCAAAAUUUAGCAUCCGACGUAUAUUCAUAUUCAAUAAAAUUUUAAAAAAAUAUGGAUGUGAAUAUGAUUUUCCUAAGAGAUAAUAGUGAUGAUAAUUUAUGUUGUACGGGAAUAAAGUAAUUUCUAUUAUAUUCUUUGUUUAUUUUAUUAUAGAUUUCAUGUUAAAAUUAUCCUUAUAUUUAUUAAACUAUUAAGUUUUAUUGAAUAAAAUAUAAGUUUGGAUGCGAAUGUGACUCAUAUCUGAGUGUUUUAUUUGUGCUAAUUUUAGUUUAUAUUUAUAUAUAUGAAUAUUAUUAUAUAUUAUUAUCCGAAUAAAAUCUGACUGAUGUCUAAAUUUGACUUCGUUUUAAGCGAAGAUAGUAAUAAAAAUUUAGCAUCUGACAUAUAUCCGUAUCUGAAUUCACAUUCGAAAAACAAAAUAUCAAUGUGGAUAUGAUUUUGUCAAAAAUUUGAUCGUAUUCAAUCGUUUUCCUUCCUAGACAGAAUAAAUUUGAGGGCCUUACUAAGAAAUAGCCAAAAGUGAAGGGAUCCCUACAUUUUUUUUCCUUUUAUUGUUAUUUAUUUAUUUUUAUUUAUAUUAAUAGUGGGGGACCAUAAGGAUAAACUUGGAUUUUUUUUGCAUUUAGCCCCCUAGUAAAUUUUUAUUUUAAAAAUAGCCCUAUCAAAAUUUAAUUUGCAAAAAUGGCCCUGCACCUGCCACGCAGGCGCCACGUCAGCGCCACGCGGGCUGGGCAUGGGCCAGUGUAUUAAGUUAAACACGGUGAACCAUUCACCGUGUUCAAACACGGUGAAUGGUUCACCGUGUUUAGUACGUAUUUUUUCCUAGAAGAAUAGGGAGUUAGGGAUGUUAAUGGGGUAUGGAUAUCCAAAAUAUUAUUCGAACCUAAACCCGAAUAAAUUAUAUAUAUACAUAAUUUAUUUUUAUUUAUUUAUACAAUAUAUAAAAUAUCUAAUAAUUUUUAUUUCUUAGAUCUUCAUCAAUCCAAUGGUAUAGAUUUUUAAAAUUAUUAGAUAUUUUAUACCGUUGGAUUGGAUGAAGAUCUAAGAAAUAAAAAUUAUUGGAUAUUUUAUAUAUUGUAUAAAUAUGUAAAAAUAAAUUAUGUAUAUAAAAUAAUUUAUUCGGGUUUAGGUUCGAAUAAUAUUUUGAAUAUCCAUACCCCAUUAACAUCCCUAACUCCCUAUUCCUCUACAAAAAAUACGUACUAAACACGGUGAAUCAUUCACCGUGUCUAAACACGGUGAAUGAUUCACCGUGUUUAACUUAACUACCGCCCCCAGCCCCGCCCGCGUGGCGCUGACGUGGCGCUUGCGUGGCAGGAGUAGGGCCAUUUUUACAAAUUAAAUUUUGAUAGGGCUACUUUUAAAAUAAAAAUUCUUUAGGGGGCUAAAUGCAAAAAA
rnacentral:lncRNA from 1 species